ensembl:lncRNA
UUUUCUCUUUUUUUUUUUUUUUGGCAGUAGUGCUCUUUUAUUUAGAAAAUAGUGUGGAAUAGCAUGGGGACAGGACCCAUGGGCAGUCAGAGCUUCUGCUGCCGCCGCUUCUGCUGCCCCCGCUGGCAUGGGGACAGAGCCCAUGGGCAGGCAGAGCUGCUGCUGCUGCCCCCGCUGGCAUGGGGACAGGACCCAUGGGCAGGCAGAGCUGGUGCGUGGGGACAGAACCCACGGGCAGUCAGAGCUCCUGCUGCUGCCCCGAGUUGAGGGUUAGGGCUAAUUUUAUAAGGCAUAGGUAUAUGAUUCAUCUCUUUACAAGACAAAGGAAAGAACAUGAAAAAAAGUUAAAAUGGUAUCAGUGCGGGUGGGGUCUGGUCAUUGGGUGAUCCCAUGACUUUUAGACAAGAAUCAAAUCGGAUUAAGUAAAGGUUAGAAAGGUUAGACGCCACCACCCUAAACCAGUUACAUGAGAUUGCCAGACAGCAACCAACUUAAGUUCUUGCCUCUGGCAUUGACCAAGAGCCUCUAGAGAUAAGACCAUCCCCCCCCUCUUCCUGGCACAGAGAGGGAGGCAUCUUCACAGAUAGAGGUUUCCCUUAGAAAUGUAAAUGUUUCCCAACAAAGGGGCAAACAAAUUCCACUCCUUGGAGCCUGAAUCUCAUCUGUAGUUUAAAACUAACNNNNNNNNNNNNNNNNNNNNUUUUUUUUUUUUUUUGCUUCAGUCUUAGGAAUUAGUGAUGGGCUUAGAUAGUAGUUCCUGGAGAGGGGAGAUGAUAAUCCUUUUCGUGAUAAAGGAACUAGGUGGAGUCUGAACUGCCUCUAGAGCUGUAUUUCCAUUCUUGCAAGGAUUUUCUAAAGACAGUUGCUCUUGAUUUCCCACAAACUGGAUCGUAACGCAAAUUACAUUCCAGUUUGAUCUACCUGUCCAGCUGCAUCACAAAAGCACAGAGAAACCCCUCAAGUUUUCUCCCAGAUGGAGUUAGAAUGCAUCCGCAGGGUGGGCCUCCGGGGAUGCUUAGGGGCCUUCCCUGUGGCAGUAAAGCCAGUGUCUGACUGACAGCAGAUGGAGAAAGGCUGCAGAGGCCGAUUGCGGAUGUUGACAUAGCUAUAAGAUUUAGUCAAGUCCCGCUCAGCCUGGGCACUUUGUCUCCGAGCCAGCACAGUUGAGGUAGGGAAGCAAGAGGCAAAGGCCUGGAACUGGCUGGAGGCUGGGGCUCCUAGAGCCAGGUUUGAGAGUUAAAUCCCUGGCAAAAGGCUUAUUUUUCCAAUUUUACAGAAGGUCAAGGUUCUGCUCAGGUCCAGCCUGAACUUUAACCUCGACUUGGUGACAACAAAGGAGAUGAUGAAUAAGACAGACAAAGAAAGGAAAAGAAGAGCUCAAACCUCGCCCUCCUGGCCUCUUCCAGAGGGUUAUCAAGAUAAGAGUCACACAACAGUUCCUAUGCUGCGGCACACUACCCUAGCACGACAGUUCACAGAAUGAAUCACAGGUCUCCUACCCUCAUAACCGACUCAGUAGGUGACUAAAAUACUCAAUGAGUCAACCGUCAAGAGAGGGCACCCCCACUUAGGGUUGCUGGGGUGAUCAGGCCCAGAAACCCAAAGUUGGGGCUCCCAGCGGUGGAGCCUUUUACUCUUUAAAGAUUUCUUUCCCAAUUGCAAAGCUCAAAUGGAGACGAAAAUGGCCAUUGUAACUCUUAAGAGAGACAAAAGAAACGGGUCCAUUACCAUGAAAAAUCCCCCCUGAACCUAGGGCAGCGUCCUACCCGUCGUUCCUACUGUGGGGUUCCUAUAGCAAGGGGUGAUGGGGGCGUCCCCCGGCAUUGCAUCCCUUGUAUACCUUCCCUGUUAUGCCUGGCAGUAACAGGUGCCUGGUGCCUAUUCUGCCUGACAGCAUAGGCCUGGUGAAUGGUUCCUGAGAGAAAAGGAGAAAGAAAAGGGGCCAUUACCUUGAAAAUCCCCCCAUUGGGGUUCCUGUUGCAAGGGAUGAUGGGGGCAUCCCUUGAACAUCUUCUCUAUUCUGCCUGACAGUAAUAGGUGCCUGGCGUAUGGUCCCAGAGAAAGGGAGCCAUUACCUUGAAAAUCCCCCCAAUGGAGUUCCUGUAGCAAGGGAUGGGGCAUCCCUUGAACAUCUUCCCUAUUCUGCCUGGCAGGAAUAGGUGCCUGGCGUAUGGUCCCCAGGAGAGAAAAGGACAAAGACAGUGAGAAAGAGAAAGACAGUGAGGAAUUUUCCGCCAGUCUGGGGGACAUUCUACCCAAUUGCAGCCUGGAGCCAUUCUCCCAAGAAGGGGUUCCCAUACUCCACCAAAGGUUAGAGUUUGGUACUUUCCUUGAACUGGAGUCCCGAGUGGGACUUUCCUCGCAGUUCAGAGCAUGGUCAGGUGCCAGAGGGAGGGAUCCCAAUCCAGCCUUAGGAAAAGAAACCUUCCACGGGAGUCUUGGAGAUUGGCGGCUGUCCUAAUGACUUAAGUGGCCGACCCGCGCCCACGCAAAAUUUGUCUAUUAGAGAUAAAGUCAGGAAGGAAUGGAUUAAUUCAUUCUCCAUCACCCUGAGGCUUAAGGUACUGAAUCUCUUCAAGCUGAAUGCCACAAUUUGCCCCAUAGAGUAGCCAUGGGCAGCAAACGUGGAUUCAUACAGCUGUCCGAGAAAGUUCCCGAUGGAGCAGUGAAUCUAGAUCCAUCCUUGAAAAAGAGAAAGGCAUAAGGAAGAAAAGGGCACUUACCAGAACUCGAGCUCACAAGCCGAUGAAGCAAUUCCCCGUACGGGCCACCAGAAAUGAUGCGGGGUCGGUGAGCCGAGGAGUCGAAAGAAAGAUUUCUUAGACUCUCAAGAUCUGGCAGUAGUGCUCUUUUAUUUAGAAAAUAGUGUGGAAUAGCAUGGGGACAGGACCCAUGGGCAGUCAGAGCUUCUGCUGCCGCCGCUUCUGCUGCCCCCGCUGGCAUGGGGACAGAGCCCAUGGGCAGGCAGAGCUGCUGCUGCUGCCCCCGCUGGCAUGGGGACAGGACCCAUGGGCAGCAGCAGGAGCUCUGACUGCCCGGGGGUCUUGUCCCCACUCACCAGCUCUGCCUGCCCAUGGGUCCUGUCCCCAUGCCAGUGGGGGCAGCAGCAGCGGCUCUGCCUGCCUGUGGGUCCUGUCCCCAUGCCAGCGGGGGCAGCAGAAGCGGCAGCAGAAGCUCUGACUGCCCAUGGGUCCUGUCCACAUGCUAUUCCACACUAUUCUCUAAAUAAAAGAGCACUACUGCCAGAUCUUGAGAGUCCAAGAAAUCUUUCUUUCGACUCCUCGGCUCACCGACCCCGCAUCAAAGCUGG